rnacentral:tRNA from 1 species
GUCUCCCUAGCUCAGCUGGCUAGAGCAAUUGACUCUUAAUCAAUGGGUCGAGGGUUCGAAUCCCUCGGGGGACA